CUAUAACCCUUUGUGACAUACCUAUAACUGUUGCUUCGGCGGGUAGGGUCUCCGCGACCCUCCCGGCCUCCCGCCUCCGGGCGGGUCGGCGCCCGCCGGAGGAUAACCAAACUCUGAUUUAACGACGUUUCUUCUGAGUGGUACAAGCAAAUAAUCAAAACUUUUAACAACGGAUCUCUUGGUUCUGGCAUCGAUGAAGAACGCAGCGAAAUGCGAUAAGUAAUGUGAAUUGCAGAAUUCAGUGAAUCAUCGAAUCUUUGAACGCACAUUGCGCCCGCCAGCAUUCUGGCGGGCAUGCCUGUUCGAGCGUCAUUUCAACCCUCAAGCUCUGCUUGGUGUUGGGGCCCUACAGCUGAUGUAGGCCCUCAAAGGUAGUGGCGGACCCUCCCGGAGCCUCCUUUGCGUAGUAACUUUACGUCUCGCACUGGGAUCCGGAGGGACUCUUGCCGUAAAACCCCCCAAUUUUCCAAAGGUUGACCUCGGAUCAGGUAGGAAUACCCGCUGAACUUAAGCAUAUCAAAARGCGGAGGAAA
rnacentral:rRNA from 1 species